rnacentral:rRNA from 1 species
UACGGAGGGGGCGAGCGUUAUUCGGAAUUAUUGGGCGUAAAGGGCGCGUAGGCGGCUUGAUGUGUCAAAGGUGAAAUCCCUCGGCUCAACUGAGGAACUGCCUUUGAAACUGUCUGGCUUGAGGCCGGGAGAGGGUAGCGGAAUUCCCAGUGUAGCGGUGAAAUGCGUAGAUACUGGGAGGAACACCAGUGGCGAAGGCGGCUCACUGGACCGGUACUGACGCUGAUGCGCGAAAGCGUGGGGAGCAAACGGG